GUGAGCUGCAGAGAAGAGGAGGUUGGCGUGGAGCACAGGCAGCACCGAGCCUGCCCCACGAGCUGAGGGCCUGCAGUCUGCGGCUGGAAUCAGGAUGGACACCAAGGCAGGACCCCCAGAGAUGCUGAAGCCUCUUUGGAGAGCAGCAGUGGCCCCCACAUGGCCAUGCUCCAUGCCGCCCCGCCGCCUGUGGGACAGAGAGGCUGGCACGUUGCAGGUCCUGGGAGCGCUGGCUGUG
rnacentral:lncRNA from 1 species